GCCCACUGAUGUGCUGCAAGGGGGUCAUGCUUUGUCAAAUAAGAUAGGGAGCCCCUCAGCUCUUGGGGUGGCAGUUGUAUCCAUUUUCUUGAAUAUAGGGCACAAAAAUGCCCAUUUUCUAUGUAUGUUGUUGCAGAAAAAGGCUGGCUCCCUGCAGGUUUGCUGUGGGCUUCACUCUAGGCACUAUGCAGCAUCUACUGUGAUGCUCUGGAAGCUUGCAGCCUGACUCUUAUCCAAAAACCAGACAGGGAGGGCAUUGGUGGGAGGCAGCAGUCCCUCAGCCUUCCACUACCACCAGGUAAGAAGAUGGCUGCUCUUCAGUGAUGCAGAUUCACAACAGCUUCUGCAGAAAGACAGGAGCGGGAGGCUAUGUGGAUACAGGCACUCUUCAGCUUAUGAUGGAGCUACACCCUGAUAAACCCAUUAGAGCCGGUCAAAGUCUUGGAGGUGGAAACGAACUGCCAACUGA
rnacentral:lncRNA from 10 species